rnacentral:lncRNA from 1 species
ACUAGAGCAGUGACUUUCCAGGCCAAACCAGGAACAGUUGCAAGAUUUUUCUACAGAGGGACCAUUCACAUAAAAUAAAUGCAUUGGGCAUCUGUAAGAAACAGAGCAGACAAUUCUUGAAAGCAAAAACUCUCGGCUGACAUCUUGGCUGGAAUUAAAAGUCCUGUUGUGUGAUGCUGAAAAACUUCAACAACCCUCUGCUGGAAGCUGUUUGGGAGAAAACGAAGUUCUAGUUCUCUUUCUCCCUCCCUCAUUUUUAAGGUGAAUUUAACUGUGUUAGAGGGAGCCAAACUGAGACCAUGAUGAUGGAAUGAUCCAGUGCUUCUCGGAGAUUGCAAACCCCACCUUGCUGUCUGUUGUUGGUGGGCACAAUCCGUCCUCAGACAGAUGGUUUCUGUGGGUCACCAUCAGAGCUGUGAACUCACAACGACGUACCGUCCCGAUCAGAGUGCAUUAAAACCAUGAAACACUUGAACAUAAAACCCAUAAAUCUUGAUUUGCCAUCAUCAGUCCCCUGAAGCAGCUGGUGCUGGCAGAACAGCUCUUUUCAAACGGCAGAGCAGCUGCUCAGCUGGUGUAAAUCAGCACAGGACCUUGUAGAAGGAGGAGUAGAAGUAGAAAAAUAGAAGUAGAAAAACAGUGGUACUGCUUAAAGGUUGUGUUUUCAAGAGAUCAGUGAGUAACUAAAAGUUUAACAUGCCCGCUGGGAAGGGUAUAAAAGAAGAGUCUAAUUUGCAGAAAAGAAGAUUUAAAUUAUAUCUGGAAAAAAAAGAAAAAAAGAUAUUUAGUGGCUUAGCACCAGGCAGGCGACGUUGCAGAUCUUCACUGGAGGUUUGUAAGAACUGAAUAAUUAGACCAACAUGUGUCACACAUGGGUGGAUCCUGUUCUGGUGAAGUGGAUGGGUUCUGGAGAUCUCUUCAGCGCUUGCACAGCAUGGAGCAAUGGACCUCGCCGUUGACACUGAUAGUGGAGCUGCUUGUGAGAGGAAGAAUUUGAGAGUGGGAGCCCAGCAAGAGGGUGGAAUUCGUCACUCCUACCAGACACGCACCAUGGGGGCCCACACAGAAGAUGGUGUAUCUCACACCUCUGCUACUGUGGAGUUUUCCAGCUGUCCCAUGUCUUGGCAGCACCUCGUCUUCUGCAGAGCUGUCAACCAGAUCCUCUCCUCCCCUUCACCGCAAGGUUAAAAGCCAGUUUCUCUGCCAGGUGAGUCUGCCAACGCUCACUCCCAAAUGAUUUUUAUUGCCAGUUUCUGAUACUUUGAAGAACAAGAUGUAUUUGGUGAGGCACUGGCCCAGGUUGCCCAGAGAAGCUGUGGCUGCCCCAUAGAAUCACAGAAUCUUCCUGGUUGGAAGGGACCUUUGAGAUCAUUGAGUCCAACCAUACACACACAAAAAAAAACCCCCCAACAAUCUCUAGAGCAUGCCCUGAAGUGCCACGUCUACACGUCUCUUAAAUACCUCCAGGGAUAAUGACUCCUACACUCCUCCAUCCUUGGAGGGGUUCAAGGCCAGGUUGGAGGGGGCUUGGAGCAACGUGGUGUGGUGGGAGGUGUCCCUGCCCAAGGCAGGGGGUGGCACUGGGGGGGCUUUAAGGUCCCUUCCACCCAAAUAAUUCUGUGAUUCCAUGAUAUUGAAAACAAAGUGAAAAUCACAAGGGACCAGAAAUUACCUGGAAUGUAAAAAUGACCGGGCCAAAUCCCUCUUUGUACCUACACACAGGGCUGAGAGGUACGAACAGCAAAACCUGUCAAUAACAUAAAGUGCUUCUGCCGGUUUGUUUCUUCCUCUCUCUUACGUGGGUAAAUAUUUGCUUCCAUAGUUUUCUGCAGGAUUUAUCAGCAGUGGGUUAGAGACAAGAUUAGGGGGCAGGCAGCACUGGAUUGCUGCUUGUGGUCUCCAGCGGCCGCUCUGAACUUAAGCCGUUCGCGAGACCAGGUCCCACUAACAAUAUAUACAAGCUCCUGACAGUGAUCUGUUCUUCAGACUCUCUGUCUGAGAUGAUUCAGCACUGAACGAUGCCGUCUCUAAUGCAGCAUUCUCCUUCCCGAGCCAGAACUCUGGAGCUCCUCAAAGAAACCCAACCCCACAUUAAUAUAACAAACACACAAUUACAAACACUCUCGCCCA